AUUGAACGCUGGCGGAAUGCUUUACACAUGCAAGUCGAACGGCAGCACGGACUUCGGUCUGGUGGCGAGUGGCGAACGGGUGAGUAAUGUAUCGGAACGUGCCCAGUCGUGGGGGAUAACGUAGUGAAAAUUACGCUAAUACCGCAUACGAUCUAUGGAUGAAAGCGGGGGAUCGCAAGACCUCGCGCGAUUGGAGCGGCCGAUAUCAGAUUAGGUAGUUGGUGGGGUAAAGGCCCACAAAGCCAACGAUCUGUAGCUGGUCUGAGAGGACGGCCAGCGACACUGGAACUGAGACACGGUCCAGACUGCUACGGGAGGCAGCGGGGGGGAAUGUUGGACAAUGGGCGAAAGCCUGAUCCAGCCAUUCCGCGUGCAGGAUGAAGGCCCUCGGGUUGUAAACUGCUUUUGUACAGAACGAAAAGGUUUCUACUAAUACUAGGAGCUCAUGACGGUACUGUAAGAAUAAGCGCCGGCUAACUACGUGCCAGCCGCCGCCGUAA
rnacentral:rRNA from 1 species